rnacentral:rRNA from 1 species
AUUGAACGCUGGCGGCAGGCCUAACACAUGCAAGUCGAACGAGUGGUGGACGGGUGAGUAAUGUCUGGGAAACUGCCUGAUGGAGGGGGAUAACUACUGGAAACGGUAGCUAAUACCGCAUACCAUCAGAUGUGCCCAGAUGGGAUUAGCUAGUUGGUGGGUUAACGGCUAACAAAGGCGACGAUCCCUAGCUGGUCUGAACGGAUUACCAGCCAACCUGUAACGUAGCAACUGUCCAGCCUCUGACGGGAGGGAGCAGUGGAGAAUAUUGCACAAUGGUCGCAAGCCUGAUGCAGCCAUGCCGCGUAUAUGAAGAAGGCCUUCGGGUUGGAAAGUACUUUCAGCGGGGAGGCGUUACCCGCAGAAGAAGCACCGGCUAACUCCGUGCCAACAGCCGCGGUAAUAC